UACGUAUGGUGCAAGCGUUAUCCGGAUUUACUGGGUGUAAAGGGUGCGUAGGUGGCAUGGUAAGUCAGAUGUGAAAACUAUGGGCUCAACCCAUAGACUGCAUUUGAAACUGCCGAGCUAGAGUGCAGGAGAGGAAAGUGGAAUUCCUAGUGUAGCGGUGAAAUGCGUAGAUAUUAGGAGGAACACCAGUGGCGAAGGCGGCUUUCUGGACUGUUACUGACACUGAGGCACGAAAGCGUGGGGAGCAAAC
rnacentral:rRNA from 1 species